ensembl:lncRNA novel transcript
CAUGAGCCACUGCACCCAGCCUGCUUAUGACACAUUUCUAAAAGAAUCGCUGGGUCAAAUGCACAUGGCUCAAGGCUUUUGAUACAUAUUGCCAAACUGCACUCUAGAAAAGUGCUGCCAACAUACACUCUCAGCAAUAUAAGCAGCCCUGUUUCUCUGAAUCCUUGCCAGUAUUAUCAAGAAAUAACCACUUGUUAAAAUAGUGCCUGAAGACUAAAUUAAUGUUUAACAUGUUUUGUCACUCAUAAGUUGGGCUUACUAUUAAACUUUUAACUGUUAUAGUAUUACCAUUCAAAGCUUACACAUAUUUAAGAUGAAGAAACUGAGGUCUAGUAAAUUAUAAUUCAGACCCCUUUUAGUGUGAAUUUUAGCCCUGGAUAUACUGCAGUGCAGUCUUUUUUUUUUUAACUUGUACUAGCCUUACAGAUUUCCCAGAAAAAGGUAGACAUCUUCUUUAUUAAGUUGGAGGUCAGGAAUAUCCUAUUAGUUUAGUACUGUUUUUCCUGUUUCCUAGAUUGGAUUUUACAAAUUUUGUGUUAAGGAUAUCUGUUGACAUUUACUCAUUUAUUAUUUAAAAAGUCUAGCUAAUCUUGGAUAAGAAUUUUGUUGAUUCAUUCACUCACUAAUUUAACAGCAUUUAUCUAAUGCCUACCAUGUGUGAAGGAUAAAGUAGUGGAAAAAAACAGGUGUAGUUUAUAUUUUUGUAGGGUGAAGGGAGGUAGAAAAUAAACAGUGAAUAAACAAGAUAAUGAUAAAUUAUAAAUGCUAUUAAGAAAAUAGAGGGGCACGUGAUUGACAGAGAAUAAAUGGGAACGUGAGCUAUUUUAGAUACGGUGGCCAGGGAAGGCCUGUCAGAGAUAUUUGGGUUAACCUGAAGGAAGAGAAUGAGUCAGCCAUAUCCAAGACAGAAGACCACAUCCCAGGCAGAAAAAAAAUAAAUAAAUAAAAAAUAAAAAGCAAGUGCAAAGGCCCUGAGACAGAGUAUCAGGUAAGAUUAAAUUCAGUUGAGAACAAGAGACUCCAAAAUAGUGGCUUUAAUAAUAUAGACAUUUACGACUGCAGGGCUAGCAUGGUGCUCUGAUCCAUAAAGUUCUCACAGACCCUGGUUUCCACCAGUUUAGUUUUGCCAUCCCUAGAAUGAGAGAACUUGCAUGAGGCACAAAUUGGCAGCUACAGUUCUAAGCCAUCACAUCUAUAUUCCACGGUACAGGAUAAAGGAAAAGCCGCAUUGAAGGUGUGCACCAACUAUCUUUUAAGGAUGGUUUUACAAGUGUGCCACAUGAUAUACUGCUUACAUCCCAUCAGCCAGCACUAUUACAUGGCUACAAGGAAGGCUGCAAAAUAUAGUCUUUGUUCUGGGUAGCCAUGUAUCCAUGUCUAUUACUAUGAAAAAAAUGGAGGAAUUUUUGGGGACAACUAACAGACUCUGCUACAGACUAGAAAAAGCACAGCCCACGACAGAAAGGAGGCAGUAAGAAGGGUGAGAACAACUUCCUGUGCUGCUUCCUGGGAAGAUGGAGAAGUGGGCAGGAGCCAGAUUAUGCAGUCUUGAAGGCUAUGUAAAAUACUCAAGGUAAUAAAACUCUCAUAUCAGACUUACACCCUCUGGAAGUCAUUCCAUAGAGGUAUAUUCAAUCUUUUAACACACCAUCUUAUGGUUGAAGAUGUUAACAUGAGAAGGAGGAGAAAGCAGGAAGAGGAAGGGACUAUUUGCAGAAGACGGGGAGAAAGAAAGGAAAGACACUAGUAUGUGUUGUUCCUCCUCGAAUUUUCCUGAAGUGAAAAAAAAACAGUGAAGUAGAGUGUUUGAUGAAAUGAAUAACCAAGCAAAACAUUUUCUACCUACACCAGUACCACUAGGAGUUGAAAUAAAUUCACACAAUGUCUGCUGAUAUGUCAAAACACCUUACCUUCAAAAACAUGACAGUUACCUUUUAUUUUAUAGUAUGCUUGUGUUUCUUCCUAUUUCUUGCUUUUGACCUUCAAUGAUAAAUGUAAACUGGAUUACAGUGAUUCUUUUGUAAGUAAAAGGUGACUUUUUAAAAGAAACAACCAAUGGAAAUAGAAAUUUUAUUUACUUCAAAUUAACUGUACUUUACUCAAAUAGAAAAGAAUAAUUUUCACAUUAUGAAGCUACACAAUUCCAAAAUACACAUGCUGAGGCUCUUUUUAAGUCCGAAU